CCGGAGGGUGCAAGCGUUUUCCUUCACCCUUUGGCGUAAAGAGUUCGUAGGUGGUAUGUUAAGUCUGGUGUUAAAGGCAGAAGCUCAACUUCUGUUCGGCACUGGAUACUGGCAAACUUGAAUGUGGUAGAGGUAAAGGGAAUUCCUGGUGUAGCGGUGAAAUGCGUAGAUAUCAGGAGGAACAUCGGUGGCGAAAGCGCUUUACUGGGCCAUUAUUGACACUGAGGAACGAAAGCCGGGGUAGCAAAUGG
rnacentral:rRNA from 1 species